rnacentral:tRNA from 1 species
GCUGGUGUAGCCGAAUGGCAUAGGCGUGUGCCUUAGGAGCACAAAUUUGGAGGUUCGAGUCCUCUCACCAGUACCA